UGGACGGAGAGGGGAGCUUUGCCCCUUGUUUGGUUCCUCGGAGAUAAAGAGGUGACGAUAGAUUGGUCGGAGGUGCAAUCGGAAUGAAGGAGCGAGUCGGUGCGGGUCCGAUCAGGGACAAAUCGGCGUUCACUCGUGCGGUAAAUGGCCUCUUAGCCUUCUUCCGUCUCGCCGAAUUUGAGGUCCUCUGCUUCCUCUUUAUCGUCAUCGCCUACGUCAUCUUCAAGGAUUUGACAUCAAGACCAGAGUACAAUCAGAUUCUUGUAAAGAAGCCCGAUGGUAAUGAUGUCUGGCCAUAUACUAGAUAAUACCAAAAAACUUCUCCAAUAUUAGAUAAGGACUACUGCCAUCUCAAAGUUGUUAAAGUUCUAUUGUACAUCUUUGUUUGUAAGCUAGAGCUUAUUAGCCUACGGCCUCUUCCAUGGAGUUCUUGUUGGUUAGUUGACUAGAAAUCUAUCUCCAGAAAAGAAGAAUCUAUGUGUGAGAUGUUGUGGAAACAAGAUGUUUAUGAAUUUAACAAUUUUCGCAUUUUCUGAUUGAUUUUAUUCCUCUCCU